AAUGCAGGCAUAGGUAUGUGCUGAUUUUGUCACUAAAACAGCAGUUCCUGAGUUGAAAAACCUCAGAUGCCCCUUUCUUCUCCUUAGCAUUUUCCAGAUGUGUUUGAGAUAGAAGCUCAGUUUUGAUGAGCAAAGACUGCCUGAAAGCACUAUCUGACAGGACUCUGAUGAGAAUAUCACUGGCUGUGCAAGGGGAGCUAGCUGACUGAGCUACUCUACAUAUUUGAGUACCUCUUACCUAAAAGUAGGUAAGAGGGACAUUCUUUCUGCAAAAAAUGCCUCAAAGCCUAGAAAUGGAAGCAAGUACACUAUUUAUCUGAAAAAUAUAUCAAAUAAUCUAUGGGUGAGCUGUGUUGUAGCCAGUAGCCUUUAGAGCCUCCACAAAGAACAGCAGAUGAAGAGAGCAAAAGCAGUUGUUGAGAGUAGAGUUUAAGGAGAUUUUAGAGCCAAUACUGAGAUACCACAAGGGCUAUCAGCAGAGCAGCAAGCAAUGGAGCUAGAAAAAGGACAGUGUAAUAACUGAUGGCAAAUGGCAGCAAAGAAGUAUCAGGCACUUAUUGGGCCAGCUCCUUAAACAGCUAUGCAGAGUAGCAUGUCUGCAUUCACAUGUACUGAAAUGGUACCCCCUUCACAUCAAGAGAUGAGCUCUCUCAACAGCAGCUUCUCCAAGGCUAGGCAGCAAACAGUGAGGUGUUCAAGAUGACACAAGAAUGAAGAUACAGCUGUAAGAAAGUCAUAAGGUAAGAUUCCAAAUGUUGCAAUGAGUUUUGAAAAUAUCAAUGUAUGGACUUCAGAUCAAGUAGGUCUGUGCAGUGACAAUAGAUCUGUCAAUCCACAGGGAGUGUGAAAGAGGCCGUCCCUCACAACCCUGUGCUGAAGCACAGCCUUGUGUUAUGUUCAGGCUUUAGAGAUAGGAAAUGGAGAUGGGGGAGGACUGGCUGUCUUGCUUUGUUAUUCAAAGUAGGCAUUGUGAUAGUGAACACAACUCCUUUGUAUUCUGGGGCACCAAGGUGUGUCACACAUAUUCGAAACAAGUUUUAUUUUCUUAAACUCUAUAAGAAUCAUUAAGAAGACCCACUCAGUUGUUCUUACUGAUAGACCCAAAUUUAAAGUUGCUGCCCUCUGUGUAGAUGUGUAACUGACAAACAUGUUUCUGUAGAACUUCAACAGUCCAUUAGCAGAGCUCAGCUUUUCACUGCCUGCACUCAGCCACAUUUAAGUUCAGUGGCUGCUUCUCAUCUUCAAAGCAAAGUCAUCCAGCUUAGUGUCAGUAACCACUCAGGCAGCAGCACAACGUUCUGUUUUGUUGCUGUCCCUGUUUCUGAAAGGACUGUGUAACUGUGCCUUUGGGUGCCAGAAUGCAAAAUUAAGAGCUGAAUACCAGGUAGCUCGUGGGAUCUCCAAGCACCAUAUAGACCUUUUGUGACUCUUUUGAUAAUUCUACUACUUACCCCUUCAGGAACUAAACAAACAUUCACAAAAUACUCAGGAUGACAUCAGCACUCUGAAGUCAUACUUCUGUUUCAUAGGGCAGCACCGCAGAUGACUGUGCACAGCACUAAAGCAGAGACAUGUAGCUAUAGAUACUAGAUAAAAGAGGAACAGUAGAGCCGUCAGAUGUAUGUGCUGCUUUUCAAGUGCUUAGCCACCCAAACUUAAGAUCUGCAAGUGCCUCUCUUCACGUGGGACUAUAUAAAAGUUAUGCACCAGACCCAGUCAGUGCUCCCUGUGCAGUAAGUCCCUUCCCAUUGAAUAUCUUGGUCCUGCUGCCAGCAGAAGUUAAGCUUGCUGGUACACAUUUUAGGAAACAAUGUGUAAGAUGCAUAUAUUCUUUUUUUUCCUUUAGAGGCAGGGGUUGCCUGUAAGAUUAAUAAUUUUCUAUGAAACAAAAGAUGCAGCUGAGUCUUCCAGUGCCAGUUAUACUCCAAUGCUGGUGCUGCCCUUUUGAUGACCAUUAGUGGAAGGCUGCAGUGAUGUGAAAUGCACUUCUAACCCAAGCAUAAUUUGUUCUGCUUACAAGUGAGCAUCAGUGCUCGCACAGAAGUGGUCAAACAACAUGCAGGGCAGACACCCUUUAGGAACUUCAUCUCUAUGCUCAGGCUCUGGUUUCCAGGAAGCAAUUUUUCCCUUAAGAAUUAUUUAAUCAGAGAAAAAUCUUCCGGUACUUAGAGACACAACUGCUGUUGUACAGACAUUGGCAUUACAGAGGAAGUAGCCACAACAUGGCGUGGCUACCCGAGAUAGAACAUUUUCUGAAGCAAAGUGGAGAGAAUAGGGAAUAUAGUGCACAGCAGUGUCCUGGCUACAACUGUCUUAAGGUUUCCCACCUUUGACACUCACACAAGGCAUCAAUUGUAGCUAAACUGUGCUUGUGUCCAAGGUAUCAUUUAUUCAGUGCACUGACUGUUUAUAUUGUUAUUAUAUUGUUUAUGUGUUAUUUGUUUCUGUGUUGAUAAAAUACAUUCAGUAGCAAUUUGCAAGUCCUGCCAUUGCAGGUCAUGUCUGGCUGGCUGUAGAGAGAAACAUGAUUGGUGGAAAAAA